AUGGGGCGCAUUGGCUCUUCCCUACUACCCACGGUCUCAGAACUUAUAGAUGACUACACAGGCAACUGGAAUGUGGACAUCAUUCAAGCAAAUUUCUUGCAACCGGAUGUUGAAGCUAUUCUCAAUAUACCCCUAAACAUCAAUGGUGGUCAAGACUUUUUGGCAUGGGCCCUAGAGAAAUCUGGCAACUACUCUGUAAAAUCCGUGUAUUGCUCUCUUGCGACUCGGAACGAGCAUCACGCUCUAGAGGAAGGGACAAUUACAGAAACUUCAUCAGCUAACAAACAGAUGUGGAAUGCCCUAUGGAAAUUACAUGUAGUUCCAAAAGUUCGUGUAUUCGGUGGAGAGUACUUCGGGGAAUACUACCAGAUUCGGUCACUUUGCAAUAUCGACACAUCAAACCACUUGGCCGGUGUGGUAUUGGCAAAGCAAUGGAUGAAAAGUUGCUUCAUGCACUAG
rnacentral:rRNA from 1 species